rnacentral:snRNA from 1 species
GGUUUCUAUUUGAUGAAAUACUGUAUACUAAAAUUGGAACAAUACAGAGAAGAAAAGCAUGACCCUUGCAACAAUGGCACAAUCUACAAAAAUGAUUCUGUUGUUU